CCUAGGCCCUGGGGGCAGAUGGUCCUUCAUUCCCAGUCCGGACUAGACCUUUCCACAGCCUCCGUGCCCGUCAAAGCCUGAAGAGAUUUCAUCAACAUUCUCAAAAUUGUGUGUUGGACCACCUGACCGGACUCUAGACCCCCAGAGACAGAUCUGCCCACAGACCCACCCCUUGCUGUCUGUUCAAGGUGAAGAAACUGAGACAGGAGGAGUUGAGCCAUGGGCCCAGGACUAUCUCUGACUAGACAAGUGGGAGAUGCUUGGGGACAGCUGUCUUCUUCUAGAUGUUUGCCCUGGGGGAACACACACAAGAGUUGUCACAAAU